UGAUUUAGUAUCGCUACGGAACAUCCCUACUUAUCUGAUCCAUCUUUUACUGUUGUUGUGUUUCCGUGUUCUAUGUUACAUACUUCUUUCCUUGUAGAAAUGAAAUCUUGAUUUAGCCUAUUCCGAUGGGUUUCAAAUUGAAGGCGAUUUUUCUUUAUUACUCUGUUUUUCGUUGUUUUUCUCGUGGGAUCUCCAGUCUCCAACAGACCAUUUCCAUGCCAAACUCUUUUAACGGUUUAUUUUAAUAAAUUGAAUGAAAAGAUAUUAGGAUCUUUCAUUUCUGUAAUAUAGGUGCUUGAGAUUGGACUAUUCUGAAUGCUGAUUUUCCACUUGUUGGAUUUUAUGCUAUGAAGGACGUCGCAGUUGCGGAUCUUGCUCCCACUCAUCCGAUAAGGCUGGGGCUGGCACUCAAUUUCUCUGUGUUUUACUUC
rnacentral:lncRNA from 1 species